AUGGCCGGAAGCCGCCGCCGCCGCCGCGGAAGAGCGCGGGUGCCGCAGCAGGGUGCCGAACCCUUGCCGCCGGAAGACACCGCUCUCAGCUCCAGAGAAGUUACCACUGUAGAGAUGCCGUCUAAGAACACCUGCCCCGCCUCAGCCUCUACCUCCCCACCAUUGUCUGGACCUCAUGUUUGUGCAGAUCUCGUGGACAGCCUGCUUCAUGAAAUUCUGCUUCACGAAAUUAUCGCUCUCUUUAACUCAUUCCAUGACUUCCUUGCUUUCAUUGGCACAUGCCACUCUUGGCGCACUGCAGUCUCUACCUUUCCAUCUGCGCAUACAUUCAGCUUCCCGCCACUUCACUUCAAACCAGAUGGUUCUUAUGUUCAUCCACAUAAUGGCGAUAUCAAGCCCAUCCUUUUAUCUAAUUGCAAAUGGCAGCUCAGUGAUCCUACCAAGAAAGACUUAUCCCUUGUGUGUUCAGUGCCUGAAAAUAGUCCAAAUACAAUGCACUAUUUGGGCUGUUCAUAUGGGUAUCUUAUCUUCUCCUACAAGGAGCACUGCCUCCUUGUCGAUGUGUACACUGGCACCAAGGUGAAUCCCCCUAAACUCCCAGCCAGCAACCAACUUGGAUACUUUUGUGGCAUAGGCAUCCUUACGGCUCCAUUAAUUUCACCCAACUCUCGCCUCCUCCUUUUCUCGAGGGCUUCCAUGUUUGAGUGGCAGGUUGGAACAAACUUCUGGUCCGAGCACCCUCUUGAUAUUGGUCGUGAACGCAUCUAUCAGAUUGUGUCCUUUAAAGAUGAUAUCUUUGUCAUAGAUGCUUUUCUGAGGCUCCACACUAUACACUUGUCACCUCAGUUCAGCAUGCGAGAAGUAGUAAUUCAAUGGGAGUUCCUGCCUAUUAACUCGUGGUUGGUGGUCUGUGGUGACAUGCUUCUCAUGGUUGUUCAAAGCUUAAGCUCCAGCGAAUCAGAUGUCUUAUUCAACUCAACCUUUAAGGUCUAUCGCCUCAAUUUUUCUAUUGAACCGGCAAAGUGGGUGAAGUUAGAGAAGUUGGAAAAUCAUGCGUUGUUUGUUAGUCUUGAUAGGAGGGACCCUACAUUCUGCUGCAUCAGCCCGGAAAGAUGGGGAGGAAAGAGUAACUGCAUUUAUUUUGCGAGGCUAUCUGAUGAUCCUGAUGAGACUUGGACUGCGGUCGAGCUUGGUCAGCCAGUACAAAAAAGAACAGUUCACCCCAUGUUCUAUGGUCGUGCGUCCCCUCCCGACUGCGGUCUACUAAGUAACCUUUGGGUGUUCCCCAGUUUAAUUUAUGGUUCUGGCCAGUAA
rnacentral:rRNA from 1 species